rnacentral:rRNA from 1 species
UAGGGAAUCUUCCGCAAUGGGCGAAAGCCUGACGGAGCAACGCCGCGUGAGUGAUGAAGGUCUUCGGAUCGUAAAACUCUGUUAUUAGGGAAGAACAAAUGUGUAAGUAACUAUGCACGUCUUGACGGUACCUAAUCAGAAAGCCACGGCUAACUACGUGCCAGCAGCCGCGGUAAUACGUAGGUGGCAAGCGAUAUCCGGAAUUAUUGGGCGUAAAGCGCGCGUAGGCGGUUUUUUAAGUCUGAUGUGAAAGCCCACGGAUCAACCGUGGAGGGUCAUUGGAAACUGGAAAACUCGAGUGGAGAAGAGGAAAGUGGAAAUCCAUGUGUAGCGGUGAAAUGCGCAGAGAUAUGGAGGAACACCAGUGGCGAAGGCGACUUUCUGGGCUGUAAAAGGCGCUGAUGUGCGAAAGCGUGGGGAUCAAACAGG